UUGGAAGAAUAUUUUUAAGUGGAUGAAAGUGACUUAUAUAAAUUUUGAGGAGGUUUGGAGCCACUUCAACAGUUUUGGGGCUUUGGUGAAGACUAAUAAAAAUGCUAAAGGCCGCCAUCUAAUUUGGUUNNCAAUUCUUGUUAUAAGUUCUCUGAUUGGUGUAUUGAUCCAUUAGCCUGCCUCCAUAGUAUAUAAUGGAGGUUCUCCGAAUUGUAAGGGUUGAGUACACCUUAUACUCCUUAUAA
rnacentral:lncRNA from 1 species